GCCUUACUUGAAAAUUACAUGAGGAAAUGAGAACCUUGGAAACUCAAGCCAAUGCACACCAAUCCCAUGUACGUGGUUUAUGCUCCAUGCAAAGCAUGGAAGAGCAGGAAGUGGUCUUUCUUCCCUGUAGGAGCCGACAUCCUUCUUCUCAAUGGCUCUCCAUAUCCUCACCUCGCCCCCACUGUCUGGGAAAUGCUGGAGAGAAAUAAAAGAAAAUGCCCCGUGAGCACUAGAAAGAGGUCGUAAUUCUGGCUAGUGAGAGCUGGGAAUACUUCAGGAGAAGGUGGCUGCAGCUGGACCCUAAAGGACAGGAAGGACAAAUGGAGAUGCCUGGGGACAGGAGACCUUUGGGGUGAGGGGUAAGGGCAGGGAAAGCAGCUGGGAGCACUUUGCUUCUUAGCUGAAGAUUGAGCUCCCAGGGAUGAGGGAGGCAAGCGGCCUGGAAGAGUUCUGGAAGGUAACGAAGAUAGAGGAAAGGGGCUGUGAAGAGGCGGCAUGGCAGCGAGUCAUGGGACUGGCUGUGGUUCUGGAGAUGAGCGACCAGGUCACCAGCGUGGAGCCGGCUCAGGGGUUUUCAGGAUAAGCGUACAGAGGUGCUUUGCUGAGGCCGACAGAACCUGCCCCUAAUGCAUCCAGGGGACACUAACCGCUUUAGUCUAUUCUCUGAUGAAUAAUUUCUCCAACUCUAACUACAUUAGGGACACACAGGGCCGGGGCUCGGUGCUCUGUCUGUCAGAUAUCGUUGCCACUUAAGUGAGUGAUGCAGUGUGGGCCGGCCACGGUGCCCGGGCCUGCGGACAAGGCAGGCAGCCAGGAGAGCUGGCCCCAGAGGUCUUAUUUCUUUGGUAGUGUAAUCAGAUUGGAGGCAGAAUGUUUUUCUGUCUCCUCCCUAUAAUCUCUGUUUUGGUACCGUUUCCUCUCCUCUACGAUUCUGAUCCCUGUUUUCCCUGCCUGUUGGUAUGGCACACUGUUCUGCCUCUUCUCCUUCCAGGCCCACUGCCCAUGCAGGACUGAGACAGAGGGAAGACGCCAGAGUGGCCCAUCCUCUAUUCUGUACUCCCAGUUGGUGGAAGAGGAAAGGGAAAUCGUGCUUAUUAAAAAUCUCAAAGGUGCAGCUCCAGGUUGUUCAGGCAUCUCAUGACAGCAACAGGAGUCAAAAGACCCCACCCUGCAGGCUGGAAUUCAGGGCAAAAAUGAUGGCAUUCUGCAGGGAUAAAUUAAAGGCUGGCACUUAGGUUCAAAAAGCCAACUAUACAAGGCCAAGAAAAAAAGCCUCUGAAUUGUAUUUUUUAUGAAAGACUUAACAUGGACUAAUUGUGUGGUAAAGCUACCCAAAACACUGAAGUUUACAAUACAAAAUGCUGUUGUUAGGAAAGAAACUCAUAUCCAUUGCAAAAUAACUUGAAAAUUUACAAAUAUGAGAGAGAGCAGUCGAGAGAGAGCUGCGUGUAUGGAGAUUACUUAAUCCCAUCUCUGACAAUUAUCUGUUAAUCCACUUGAUUAUAACCUUCUAUUUCUUUUCCCUAGGCAGGUAUUCAAGGUAUAUCUAUAACAUAAUUGUAUUUUUGAAAAGAUAUAUUUGCAACUUGGCUUUUUUUUUUUUUGAACAGUCUUGCUCUGUUGCCCAGGCUGGAGUGCAGUGGCGCGAUCACGGUUCACUGCAGCCUCGACCUCCUGGGCUCAAGUGAUCCUCCUACCUCAGCCUCCUGAAUAGCUAGGACUGCAGGUGUACACCACCAUGCCUGUCCAAGUUUUAAAUUUUUUGUAGAGUUGGGGGGGGUCUCUCUAUUUUGCCCAGGUUGGCCUCAAACUCCUGGACUCAAGGAAUCCCCUCAGCCUCCCAAAGUGCUGAGAUUAUAGGUAUGAGCCACCAUACCUGGCCACAACUUGACUUUUUUAUAUAACUAAAUAUUGUAAAUAACUUUCAAAGUCAUUACUUUUCCAUAAUGCCAUUUUUAUGUGUUGUAAAAUAUUCUAUUUUAUAAAUUUACCAUAAUUUAUUUAUAAAAUUGUAUUUUGUACAUUGAUUUUUCCUCGAUUUUUCUGUAAUAUAAUGAAUCCUGGGCUGAAUCACCUUGGAAAUAAAUGUUUGUGUACACCCUUGAGUAUUUCUGUAAUAUAAAGCCCUAGGAGUAAAAGGUAUAGAAUUUAAAGGGUUAUGAACAUUUUGAAGGUUUUGAUUUACUGGUUUGCUUAUUUGUUUUUGAUGUGUCUGGUCAAAUUGUUCCACACCACCAAGUGUGAGAGUAUCUCUGUCUCUCCAUAUUUUCCCCGGUAUUGGGCACUAUGAUGUUGAAAUAUCUUGCCAGAUUUAUAUGUGAAAUGUGGUAUCAUGCUUUAAUUUGUAUGUUUUGAAUUAU
rnacentral:lncRNA from 1 species